GACGAACGCUGGCGGCGUGCUUAACACAUGCAAGUCGAACGGAAAGGCCCCUUUGGGGGUACUCGAGUGGCGAACGGGUGCGUAACACGUGAGUAACCUGCCCUUGACUUCGGGAUAACUUCAGGAAACUGGGGCUAAUACUGGAUAGGAAUCCUUGCUGCAUGGUGGGGGUUGGAAAGCUUCGGCGGUUUUGGAUGGACUGGCGGCUUAUCAGCUUGUUGGUGGGGUAGUGGCUUACCAAGGCUUUGACGGGUAGCCGGCCUGCGUGGGCGACCGGCCACAUUGGGACUGAGAUACGGCCCAGACUCCUACGGGAGGCAGAAGGGGGGAAGAUUGAACAAGGGGCGGAGGCCUGAUGCAGCAACGCCGCGGGCGGGAGGACGGCCUUCGGGUGGUAAACCGCUUGCAGCAGGGGCGAAGCUUGUGGUGACGGUACCUGCAGAAGAAGCACCGGCUAACUACGUG
rnacentral:rRNA from 1 species